UACAGUUUUUGUAAUGGGUGUUUCAAACCAAGGCGGGCCUGCUGGAAUUCUUUAAUUGCGUUCGAUAACUUCGUUGUGUCAACAGAACGUCUUUUUCCCUCGGGACUCCUGAAACGGCUUUUGUACCGAGAAAGAAAAGUCCAAAUGCCGCCAUUGUCGUGGCCUUACAAUCAAUUUCAGUUGUGCCUUUCUCUCCUUUCUUGAAAGUUAUUGCCUGUGAGAAACUGCGGGGAGAUCUUUUCUUUUUUUUUCCCUUUUUUGAGCACCAGGUGAAAAUGCCAUAAAUGUACAGUAACACAUGCUAUUCCAAUUAUUAUGUUAUACUGCCGCGGACCUGGUCAAAAACUGCCAUUUUCAAAUGCGCAAAGACCCCCGAGCACGAAAUGUGCAAACCAUGAUAUCCUGCAACUUUGUUUUGACACUUUAAAGGCUGUAACAGCAAGGAAAAGGAAAAUCACGGCCUUUUAUUAACGCGGUGUGCUUUCGCUACAGUCGUAACUGUGUCAUUGGUCCUUAUAGGUCUCCCAGAAAGUAUCCUCUUAAGGAAAACUUCCAGAGAUCUGUAGUCUUUCAGUGACUAAGAAAAUCUUGAAGGCACCCUGGAUGGGAUGUCAGUCCAUCAAAGGGACCAGCCAACUUGUCCCAUAGAUCUAAGCAGACCUGUGCUGGUGUCUCCCCAGGACUAACUGACAGAGCAUCACGCACACAGCUGUGCGGUGCGACCGGGGGCCACUUAACGGGGCCUCCCGAGGCCAAGAUGAAAGAGGAAGGGAUGGAGAGAGCCUGUCAAACGCAUCGCGGCGCAGAGGACGGAGCGCCGCAGAGCACCGGAGAGCGCAGGACGCGAUGCGCCCCAGCACCGGGAACAGUGUCUGCUUUUAUGGACUUUGUUAAAGCAUUUCCAGGGCCGCAUCCGAUGUGUUUACAAGACUGUAAAUCAUGCCACAUUCACGAGACGAGCGCAAUAAAGUAGGAGGACACACCAAAGCCAGGUGGGAGGGGGUACAGUAGACCGAGGCCAGUAAAUGCUCCUUUAUAGGUACAGAUACAGAAUAACUCACUGUGGUACUUUGUGUUGGAAAUGCUUCCCUAGUGUUUGUAUAAUUAAAGACCUCAGGACGCCAUUUAUGUUUCACUUACGGCUUAUU